CUGCAAAGCCCUACAAACUGUUGUACUGGCAAAAUGAGGGAAUGAUGGAGGAAUGGAAAUGAGUAACCUGAGAUGAGGGCAAGGACUACAUUGGGAGUGAAAUUCUGCUACAGAAAUGGGUAAUGUAAAGGUUUUUCAGCAUCACUGAUUGGUGAGAAAGAGCUGUUAUCCCCAUACUAUGAUGGGAAAAUUGAGCAUGUCUACAUUGCAGAACACCAGACACAAAUGAGCACCUCUGCCAGCAGAAGCCAUCUCACACAGGUCUUAUUCUCUUCCUGCCAUAUCCACACUUGUGCUGUGCAGGCACACUGAUAGCACUGUCAAAAAGUUAAUUCCUGUUAAAAUUAACUGCUUUACUGGCAAGUUAGUGUUAAUUUGAUGACUUUUCUGCUUUGGUUCAGUCUGCUGUUGCACAAACUCUUAUGUAAGCAAAAGGGAAAGAUGACUUGGGGGCAAUAGGGGGAAGGAACAGAUCUGGUGGAACACAGGCUGCUUUGGUCAUCAGAGGAGCCUGCUGUCAGCUCAUCGUGUUUACAGAACUAAAGCAUAAGCUUACCCUUAAAAGCAAUUCUAUAUCUGACUUUCUCUGAAAUCAAUGCUCUGAAUAUAUCUGAUAUGUCAGAUGUUUCUAAUAGUACAUAUAAUAACAUAAAUAUGCUUCCUAAGAAUACAUACAAAAAGCCAUUUCAAUCCCAGAGGACAAGGAAGCCUUUUAGGAGUAGGAAAAAUCUCAUAGAUUUAACCAAUAUAACAAUGCUAAUAAAUGAAAUAAAGAAAUGUGCAGCUUGUCCUGAGAAUGGUACUGUCAAAAAAACCUCUUCCACAAUCUGUUUCUGCACUGGUGGGAGGAGGGACUGUUUUGUAGGGUGAUUCCUUUUAAUCAUAUACAUGCCUUAAGGGCACAAGAUGCUGGCAACGUGGCCAAUCCAAAAGAGAUCGUGGAUUAAUGCUUGUGAAAAGCAGUCCUAGCUAUUCCUUUGUGCAUUGUCCAAACAGCAAAUGAUAACACUGCCUUAAGUCACCCAGUGUUACACCUUCCUAUCCAUAGUGUGAUUCUCCCAAAAAGUUGGACAGAAAUCAGUUUUGUUUCUCUGUCUGCAUUCUCUCUUCUGUGUAACUUCAUCUGUUCAGGUUUUCUCUGUAGUACAGCACACACUGCUGAUGCUGAGGGUCCUGCAUGACAGGAGCAGAAUGACAGAACCUUUCACUGAGAAAUGCAGAAAAGCUAUCUUGUCUAAGUGCUGCAUGUCAAGCCAGUGAUGAGGCAUGCACUCUAAAUGCAUUUAUUCCUGAAUUGUUGCAAUUAGGUCCUUCAGUUCACUAGCUUCAUGGUAACGUUUUCCAUUUUUCUAUGAAAAGAAAUAAUAAAAAAAAAAAGGAUGGAAAAUGAAGAACAUCUUGAAUUCAGGACUUACGUGUCACAGGUAAAUGAGAUAAAAGUUACACUCACUGAGAGACAAUGUCUGUCUUGUGGCUGAACACCUGAGGCUGUCAUGACUGAACCAUUUUUGACAUAUUUUUCAAGAAACUACCAGAGACUGCUAUGAUCCUCACAAGUUCAUCACAUUAGGUACAGUCAAGUUAAUUAGCAACUAAAGUUCUUGUUCUCAGAUCAUUCACAUUGCAUAUUAUUCCUUAUUUCUACUUGCUGUUGGGAAGUUAUUUGCACUUUAAAAUGAGGAUGAGUUAUAAUGCUCAAUAGCUGCUUGUUUGUUUGUUUAACUUAAAUACGUUGUGGCAGAUCUUUUCUAAGGACUUUUCAGUCAUGUGCUACUCCAUCCAACAUUCCCAGUAUCAAAUGCUGUAUAUAUUCUCAGCUAGGACUACGGUUCACUUAGUACACAGACACAAAGAGUGAAUAGGACCAGUUUUGUCCUAUCACAAAAAAACCACCCAUGACAGAAGGUCUGUUAUGAGCUUUACAAAUUACAGAGUGACAUCUUGUAUGCAUUGAGGUCAACAGUGUUUUUUCCACUGAUUUUGGAUGACACAAGGUUAAAUGCGAAGAGUAUGAUACUCUUUCCAUGAAUAACACUAGUGUUUGAAACUAAAACCUCACUAGAAGUAUAUGUUCACCUAUAUAGCCAAAAUCUGUCACUGAGCCUGUAUCACGCAAAAGCUAUAAACAUUGCUUUAAUCAGCUCUGGCUCUGUACAAAAACAAAAACAAACAAACAAACAAACAAAAACCCUAAGUCAUGAGGAAUAAAUCUGUGCUUGCAAUUACUCAAAUUGGUUCAAAGAUAUUUUACUUUGCUCUGUUGGCAAUUAUAUUUGUCAGAUCGUUCAUUUUAUUGGUUGAUGCUACAUUUUUGUAGAUGCCUCUUGUUUUAUUAUUUCUUAUUUAAAGGAGCUGGGAGUCAUUUCUGUUCUAUCUGCAAAAACAAGCAGCAAACAGCUUAAAUGCCAUUGCUUUUCUCACACCUCUGGGAUGAUUACAUAAGACACAAACAUCCAGAGGAGAAAAAAAAAAAAAAACAAACUCAGAAGAGCAGAUCUCUUCAUUUACUUCUCUUUUUAUUCAGUCUUAUUAGAGAUAUACAACAGAUUAUCAAUUGCAGCUUUUAAAAUGAAAGAUAUAUACUGAUGCCAAAUAUAGAUUAUUGGAAUUAUUUUAGGUACUGCUUCUGAAAUAAAUAAAUAAAUAAAUAAAUUGUAAAGACAGCAUUCCAUGUACAAUUAUCAUUCCAUGGAAACACAACAGUAAAUGCCAGUUACUUCACUGUGUAUCCCCUGCCAUCUUUGGCACCCGGGCCUUCUCCUUGCACAAGACAGCCUGCAGUUUAUAAAAAAAAAAAAAAAAAACGGCAGCCAGAUAGAAUUGAGGCUUAGCAGGUCUGUGGCAGCAGUACUGUACAGUAGCUUCAGCAGUGAGGACAGAAGUCAGGAGAAUGUGCACAGUGGCAGAAGGCUGGCACUGCACAGCUUCAGCCCUCCCAUCCAUAUCAGGAGUAGAGGAAUAAAGAGUAAUAGGGAAGAAAUUUCAGGGUACCUUUAUUUUGAUUACGUGCUCAUUUGGACUCAUUUGGAUGUACAGUUCUUUUUGGUAGGGUUUGAAAUACAUGUUAACCUGAUUGCUUUUGGUGACAGAGUACACUGUAAGCACAGAUUUGUACAAAACCCCAUGAAGGAGGUCAGGAUAGGUUUCAUGGGCCAGCCUUCAACCCAGCAAGAGCAGCUGAACUGCACCAUUAGUAACAGAAGUCUUUUGAAUCUGCUUUUCAAGGACUCUUGCCCCAGAACAUCCAAAUUCUUGCCCAGUACAAUCUGUCUCUGUGCUUCAGGAUCCUUAUCAUUAAAGGUCUUUCCUUACUUUGAAAUGAAAAUUAUUAUUUCUUUUCUGGUAAAGGACACCACAGGGAACAUACAGGUCUUUUUUGAUGGAAAACCAUUCUCAGUAGAAUGUAGUAUGUAUUCAUAAAAGUGUGUAAUUAUAUACACAUCUGUAGAGUACACAAAUGUCGAGAUCUUCUUUGUGAUGUUUCUCUUUUCAUACUUCAAUACAUGAGUCUCUACAAGAACAAUCUUCCUGUGCUGUAUGAGGUCUAGAAAAGAUGAGAAUGUUCUUACACAAGUUUUGUCUUUUCAUAAUUUAAGUAUAUAGUGUAAACUUUAGGUUCUGUGUCUUCAUAAACUAUGCAUGGAGAACAAACUCCUUGUAGAUUGACUCUUCUUCCAUCAACCAUGGAGGGGAUGUGAUCAUCUAGUUUUAGAAGGUUAAAGCAAACAAGAUACAGAUUUGUAUUCCUACAUUUAGGACAUUGUAGACAUAUUCUAUGUACAGUUUCAAAACAACAACAACAACAACAACCUUUGAUCCAGCAGCAUACACACCUGUACAUAUAUCCUUCUCACUACCUCUUCUCUGAUAGGUUUCUCAGCCCUAAAUUACUUUACCACAAGAGCUUUUCUCAACAUGUCAGUGACAAGCACAGUGGUCUCCAUCUACACUAUGAAAGAAAUAUCUCUUAGUACACAUGUGAAGCAGACGUUGCCAUUUGUUGUGAUUUUUCUGAUGUGAUAUGACUAUUUGAGGAUGUAAGGAACACAACCAAAAGCCAUGAAGUCAUCUGAUUAUAUUUCUAGACACAGUAAAUCAGUAUUUUGCCUUUAGUCAGCAGAACUGUACUAUUUAAUGCAAGCUGAGGGCCUGAUUAACAGGACUCCUGAGGAUGAAGGAGCGCACAUAGCCACUCUUGUUACUAUGGUUCACUGUCAGCUAAGUAUCUGUACAAGGAGAGGCAAUAUAAAAAAAAAAUACUCUCCUAUUUCAUUUUGUUUUUUUAAUGUGUAUGUGUAGAUUAAGUGUGAAUAUUUUCGUUUUCUGUUUUAGUGCUGGAGUGAGAAUGAGUAGAAAGGAACAGAGUGCGAAGAGAAGAAUAAGAUAAAAAUGGAAAGCAGAAAUCCUGAGCUGGCCCCACUGAACAACGUGUUCAAACAGCUCUCACACCAACCUCAACUGAGAGAGUGGAUUUUAAAUAAAUAAAUAAAUAAAUAAAACAUUCUUUUUUAUGCUUUACUAUUUGCCACACUUGAGCGCACCUCUAAAAAAAGAUAAGUAAAAUAUUAAAAAGAUGUUUUAAAAGAAUAUAUAAAACCAGUGGAAGAAAGACAGGUAACCUUUGAUAAAAGGAACUUGUGAGAAGACACAUGGGAAUGUAAGAAAAAGUUGAACACAGAUGCUACAGUGGUAAAAAGAUGGAGUAGGAAGCUCAGUAAGCAACUGGGAGAGAACAGAGCCACAAAAUACACCAGCAAGAAUUAGCUUACUGGUUCUGAUGCCAAGGUGAAGAGGACAAAACCAAAAGAAAGACGUCUAAACAAUAAGGUAUUUUUUCUCAGAAAAUGACCUAUUUUGGAAACCAACCCUCAGAACACAGGAGUCUGCCUUUGUGGAAGUGUUCGUUGUCUUGUGGAGAAGAGGGAAAGUUGAGUGAGAAGCAACACACCUCUGUCUCCCCAGGCUAUUCUUGGCUCAUUCACUUCCCUGAGCAUUAAAUUCAUUCACAAAUUGGGAACUUAUCCCGCUGUUACUUUCUAGCACAUUUGAUAAAGUGAUGAAUCCUGAAUUAGUAUUGCAGUGUUGCUAAGUUUUGAUAAAUGUGCUUAUAAAUUCAUUGCUGCAGAAGAAAAGUCUCUUCUUUAAUCAGAAAUCCUGCUGCUGUCAAUGACAGAAAUAUAGCUUGAAACGAAACAUUCUGAAGAAAGCACCUUGUUAAGAUGUAAUUUUCUUCGUACAUGGCUUUAACAACAACCCAGCCCUAUUUGCAGAGCUAUGGCAUUAGCCUUUACACACCAAAAAUGCUUAGGCUUUUAGUAAACCUAGCAAAUAUUUUGCGGUGCGGCUGACACAUUAACAUGUGUAUUAGUGAGCAGUUGUCCAUAAGGAAUUUGUCAGACUGUCAACAAAGACUAAGACAGCCAGUCCAGUCCCUGCUAAGUGUAAAAACACCUGGAGAUCACAGCAAUCACUCAGAAGGGAAUUAAAGUAAUAGAUUAAUUGACCGUAAGAAUCAUUUUCCUUGUUCAUGAAUCUGGAUUUCCCUUGGCUGCCAGAAUUGUAGAUGAAAGAGAAAAACAUCCUUGACCUUUUCCGUCAAAGAAAAUGCUUCUCUCUUUGUCUAACACACAAAAAUGUGGACUAUUUGAGUGAUUUAAAAGGUCUGAGAAUUGCAAACAAACAAACAAACAAAAAAGAGUGUCAAUAAAAUAGUAUUCAGCUUCUCAUUUAUUCUGCUGUGUCUUGACCCAUUAAGAGGUGUUAGUGAACAUUUCAAAAGUUGUCAGCUUGUACCCUUCUAGUCUACCACACUUCCUGACUUUAAAGCCUGUGAUGCAGCUCUAACAGUUAG
ensembl:lncRNA